GUUUUCUUUGGUAGUACACAUUCUAAAAUUGGAAUGAUACAGAGAUUACCAUGGCCCCUGCACAAGGGUGAUGCACAAAUUGAUGAACAGUUCCAUAUUUUU
ensembl:snRNA U6 U6 spliceosomal RNA